rnacentral:rRNA from 1 species
UACAGGGGGUGCAAACGUUGCUCGGAAUCGAUUGGGCGUAAAGCGCACGUAGGCGGUUCGUUAUGUCGGAUGUGAAAGCCCUUGGCUUAACCGAGGAAGUGCAUCCGAAACUGGCGAGCUAGAGUACGAAAGAGGAGUCGACGGAAUUCCCGGUGUAGAGGUGAAAUUCGUAGAUAUCGGGAGGAACACCGGUGGCGAAGGCGGCGAUCUGG